rnacentral:rRNA from 1 species
UACGAAGGGGGCUAGCGUUGCUCGGAAUCACUGGGCGUAAAGGGUGCGUAGGCGGGUUUUUAAGUCAGGGGGGAAAUCCUGGAGCUCAACUCCAGAACUGCCUUUGAUACUGGGAGUCUUGAGUUCGGGAGAGGUGAGUGGAACUGCGAGUGUAGAGGUGAAAUUCGUAGAUAUUCGCAAGAACACCAGUGGCGAAGGCGGCUCACUGGCCCGAUACUGACGCUGAGGUGCGAAAGCGUGGGGAGCAAACAGG